GCGUGAGCCACCGCGCCCGGUGGAAAGGACACUUUUUUACAGUAUGAGCACUGAAACAAAAAGGCAAAGCAAGGUCUGUUCACCUUCAGCUGAGAACGUGAGGAUUGGUUCAGGAGUACAUGCGCAGGUUUGUCAUAUAAGCAAAUUAUGUGGCACAGAAGUUUGGUGUAUGGAUUAUUUCAUCACCCAGGCCGUUUCUCAGCGUUGGAUGUGCAAGCAGUUUUGAGAGAUGAAGUCAUGACUUCAAGACAAAAAAACAGGUUUGCUUAUUUUGCUACAAACCAAUAAGUUCUUCAGCCAUGCUGCAAAUCCACUGUGUAUCCAGUUCCCAUCUGCGGCCCGCACAUCAUCCCCAUGGGACUUGAGAGCAAGAGGAUCCCACGCAAAUCAUGUUGCUUGCUAUGCUGUAUAGAUGAAGGAGAGGCUGGUGUCUGCUUUUCACCUGAAGAUUCCUGGGAAUCACAUUUGCCUGAAGCAUUCAUAAGAGCAUGGCAAAAGGGGCAGUUGCUCUGUUGUGCCAGGAAGAAGAUGGAGGUAACCCCAUGCCUUCAUUCCAGUUAUCCAAAGCUCUCAAAGCUGUAGAAGAGAACUUCAAAGUUCUGUUUUAUUAUUAUUAUUAUUAUACUUUAAGUUCUGGGACACAUGUGCAGAACAUACAGGUUUGUUACAUAGGUAUACAUGUGCCAUGGUGGUUUGCUGCACCCAUCAACCCGUCAUCUACAUUAGGUGUUUCUCCUAAUGCUAUCUCUCCCCUUGCCCCCCACUCCCUGACAGGCCUCGGUGUGUGAUGCCACCCCCACCCUCGUGUCCAUGUGUUCUCAUUGUUCAACUCCCACUUAUGAGUGAGGACAUGUGGUAUUUGGUUUUCUGUACCUGUGUUAGUUUGCUGAGAAUGAUGGUUUCCAGCGUCAUCCAUGUCCCUACAAAGGUCAUGAACUCAUUCUUUUUUAUGGCUGCAUAGUAUUCCAUGGUGUAUAUGUGCCACAAUUUUCUUAAUUUAGUCUAUCAUUGAUGGGCAUUUGGGUUGACUCCAAGUCUUUCCUAUUGUGAACAGUGCUGCAAUAAACAUACAUGUGCAUGUGUCUUUAUAGUAGAAUGAUUUAUAAUCCUUUGGAUGUAUACCCAGUAAUGGUAUUGCUGGGUCAAAUAUUAUUUCUGGUUCAAAUAUUAUUUCGGGCAAUUCUUGAGGAAUUGCCACAUUGUCUUCCACAAUGGUUGAACUAAUUUACACUCCCACCAGCAGUGUAAAAGAGUUCCUAUUUCUGUGUUUUUAUGUGAAGAAACAUGAGUUUAGGGGAGAGGGCAGGAGACAAGGUCCCCACCCAGGAGAUAAGUAGACAAAGUAAGAUAAAGGCCCAUGAAUGAGCCUAAGGCAUAGGUGGGUUAUAGGGAGAUGUGUCUGUGUCUCACUAAGAAUGUUCUAAAGAUCACCCUAAGGAAGCCAUCCACAUCAGCAGCAGGGAAACAUCUAAGGUGAUGACACCACUAGCAGCAGAAAAGAAGAGUUUGUGCCGGAGUAGGACUGGGGUCUCUAGAUGAAGCCUGCAUGGCACCAGAGUUGCCUCCCCACCACCAAUACACGGCCAGGUCUGUAAAACCUGAAGAUUCUUUAGUUUCCCUUUUCUUCUCUCUGCCAUACCCCAAGAAAAGCUAGACCCAGAAGAGAAAGGGAAGAAGGUGUGUAAAUAAGAGAAGUCCACAUACUUUUACCUUCCCCCUCAGUCUUCUCAAAGACCCUGAUGUGAGAGGAGAAGAGGAAGAUCAGACAUUGGCUCUUCCUCACAUAGGUUCCUUCUUGAUAGGAAAAGAAGACAGCGUUAGAUAAAAUUUGGGAUCACAGCUUCAAAGAUGCCAUUAUGUGAUGGGAAAGAAAUACUAGACAGAGUCUUGUUAAGGGCAGUGAUUGGAGAAAAAUAAAAAUGUUCAGUUUUGACCCCAUUGAGUUAUCUACUCUGUAAGCCAGGUGCACUUACGUGAGACGAGAUUUAACACAAUGUGAAUUUUGCUUUUUUUCCUCCCUUAAGGCUUUCAUACUGCACUUAGCACUUUAUUAGGAUUUUAGUUUAUGGUAUACACACUAAAUAUUAAAUUUAUCGAGACUUGGUUGGGCAGAUGCCCUAUAAUUCACACAGUGCCAGGUAACAUAGACACUGUAACAAAGGCAUAUACGCUGGGCGCAGUGGCUCACGCCUGUAAUCCCAGCACUUUGGGACGCCGAGGCAGGCAGAUCACGAGGUCAGGAGAUUGAGACCAUCCUGGCCAACAUGGUGAAACCCCGUCUCUACUAAAAAAAAAAAAAUACAAAAAAUUAGCCGGGCGUGGUGGCGGGCAUCUGUAGUCUCAGCUACUCUGGAGGCUGAGGCAGGAGAACGGCGUGAACCCGGGAGGCGGAGCUUGCAGUGAGCCGAGAUGAUGCCACUGCACUCCAGCCUGGGCGACAGAGCGAGACUUCGUCUCAAAAAAACACAAAUAAACAAAGGCAUAUACGAUAAGGCUUCCUUUCCAAGCAUUUACAAUUGGCCGGGGGUAAUAUACAAGCACUUAAGUUAUCUAAAAAGACAGAAGUCAAUUAACAAUAUAAAUUCUGCCAAGAUUUAUAUGAAACAUUUUAAAGAAAAUAUUGCAUUUGUGCAAUGUUAGAAAAAAUUAAAUACCAUAUGUUAAACCUUCUCAUAUUUUCUUCAGCCAGCUCCUCCUAUAUGUUUUCUUUAAGUCGAUAUUUUAUGUGUUAGGUCCGGUCAUUCGCUUCUAAUUGUUGCCAUUAAUUUUACAUGUGAGAGUGCACAGAUGAAAAGAAUGAGUGUUUGACAGCGUCUACAAAUGGAAAAUGUCUUUGUCAAGAGCCAAACUGAAAAGGCCAAAGCCCUCUAGUUUGCUGUUUCUAGCAUCUGAAGUCCAGACACAAACGACUCUGACCAGUGCUUGCUGAUGUGACAUCUGUUUUCAUCUGCGUUUGCUCUGGGAGAUGCCCUGUUAGCCCUUUCCUGGACUGCCUUGAUUCUGAUACCUUGCCUGGACAAUCUUAUUAUUUGUCAUCUGGCUUUCUGGCUACUGUGUUCUCUUCCUGUCACCCUAAACUUCCUUUCCUUAUCUGAAGCUGGAACUACACUCAUUCUGAAACAUGAACACAAACACACCUAAAUCUAAAAAAAUCUUGAAAUUAUAGUGACCAGUAUAUCCUUUUACAUUCAUCUGAUUUAAGCAGCACUAUAAAUGAGGAAAUCAUAUCUAACAUGAAGUCAAGUUAUUCUUACGUCUAGAAAUAAUAAGCUUUUGAUUCACUUCAGAAUAUUUUGAGCUGACGUCAAGGCUUUUAAUACAAUUUUGUUGAUGCGGGAGCAUAAUAUGACGAACAAAACACUUGAGAAUGUUGAGGUAUGCUCUCAAAUAUGUUAACAUGAUCAGACAAAAUUUAGUCCUCAAACUGGAACAGAGCAGUUAAGGUAGCAUGCACUGGCAGAUAAUCAAACUCAGGCUCGCUAAUUAAAUUGUACUGCAGCUGAUAACAAUGCAGUUGAUGAUGCCCAGCAUAUUCCAUGCUUGUCACAAAUUGCUGUUACUUAUGAAACAGAGCAGUAGCUUUCCACUUGAAUAUUUUCCAGAGCAAAGGGAACUGCGGGCAUAUGCACAUAUGCUCACAAGUGCUUGGUGGCUCUUUCUAAAUAUUUUUAAAUGGAUGUUUUAAUACACAGAGCAAGCUUUGGAUUUUUUUCUGUGAUUCAGCAUUGUCAAGUACUCCAUCAUUUGCAAGAUUAAAGUCAGAAAGUUGUCAUAGCCUGUCUCCACCAGGAAUAUAUGUGUGCAUAUAUAUCUUACACCACUUUUCACUUGUCACAUAUCUCAGUGGCUGGAUGAGAAUAUGGUGCUAAUACUGAGUUCUAACUCUUGGAAGGUAGCUACACUUUAACGCAUUAUAUUAAACAAACAUCUUUACAACUCUAAAAGAUCUAUCUGAAUAUGGAAUGUGUGGCCUUAAGGGAGCUCUUCUCAAUGCCAGAGAAGUACAAAAAUACACCAGGUAGUCAUGUAGCUGUUAUGCUGAAUUCGAAUUUCAAGUACUAGGUGAUGGUUAAACAUGUUUUGGUGGGAGCCUAGUCAGAGAACACAGAAGCUAUAGGUCUGAUUGGUUGGCCUACCUCAUGCUGGCAAAAUUCAGUGUAAAUAACAACUCCUAUAUAUUUUUCUCAGAACUGGUUCCUAAGAGAGCAGAAAAUCAGCUAUAUGAAACCACGGCUAAAGAGAUAAAUGGCCUCAGUACUCAAAUUUGUAUACCACGCUUAUCUGCAACUGCAGAUCACCUGAACGAUAGUGAAUCAACUGAUUGGGAAGAAUUCAUCUAAUGUAAACUAUGUGGUCAACGAUCUAAGGGAUUAUUUGUGAAGAAGAAAAUCUGGGUUCCAAUUUAUACUCUGUUCUAGCUGAUGGUAGAACCUAAGGAAUGGUCCAUUUCCCCUAGUAAAUUCUCUUGUAUCACUAUAGAUGCUUUCCGAAAAUGCUGAUCACAAUUUAAAAUUUUACCUCUUAAGUGUCUAUUUGAUUAGUGGCUGAAUCCCUCCUUCAGACUGAAGUCCAUGAGAACAGAAACUCUGUUAUUUUUUGGUCUGCAUUGUAUACACGGCAUUCAACACAGUACCAGCCACAAUGUGAAUGCUCACUUACCAAAUACAUGAUUGAAUGAAUUUAAAUCUUCUGGGGCUCAGUUUCUCCAUAUUGAAAAUGAUCCUUGUAUCAUGUCUAAAUAUUGCUCAAAUUUCUUACAUCUUUAAGGGUUGUGUACCACCAUUUUAUGAUCCUUAUUCUUCAGAAGCAUAACAAUGAUUUAGAAACAGAGGCAUGUAUGAAAUUACUAGAGAAAAAAGAUAUAGCCAACAAUUAAGCAUUCCCUUGUAGGUUACUGAGCUCAGAAAAUGAAUGAAUAAAUUAUUAUUUUGCACGAUGGAUGCAUUUGAAUAAUGGAAAGAAUGUAAGAAGAUAUUUUCAGGUUAGCGGUAGAAUAAUAACAGAGGGAAAGAAGACAGAGGCAACAACGAGGAUGAGCUGUGCAAGGGAAUGUGAAGAUUUUCUCCAUAUCUGCAUGUUUGUAUGAUUAAGAUUUCCAAUUUAUUCUAUUAAUGUUUGUUUCUCUGCCCAAUUAAAUGAUGAAGUAAAUGUCAUGGCCCAGAUAUUUGGGACUGGCUUCAUCAGAAUCAUUUAAUUAUAUUUAUGGGUUCUUGGAAGUUCAGAUUAAAAAUAUCACAUCCCAAAUCUUGAACAGCUCAAGUGACAAUGCAAUACUCCUAGGGAGAAAAACAUGGCCAUCCCCAUCAUGCUGUGUGGAGGCUGAUUGUGACAAUAGAGAUGCUUGCCUCCUUUCAAAGAUAAAAGGAAAAACUUCAAGUUCUUUAAUUCUGAAAAGCUGGUAAAUAGUAACAGCUUAUAAUAGUCUUUAAAAUGACCAUAAAGAAAAUUCCAAUUGAUUUAAUGAUUAGAAGUGAAACUUGAAGUCAAGAAAUUCAAAGCCUCUUUACAAAGCCAUGCCCUUCACAUUUAUUUAAGAAUAUAUGUGAUCACAGGCACAUAUUGUACAAGUCCAGCAUCCUUUUGCUUAUCCAAGAGAAUAUACAGCCACAUGGCACAAUGCUUUUGAUUAAUACCACUGAAAUAAAAAAUGAGAAAUUUAAGUGGAAAUAACAGCCAACUAAAUGCACACACAAUAAUAAAGUGUUCCAUUUGUUUAAGUGAAGAAUAAGAACUCUUACUUAUUUUAGGUAGUUUUUUGAAAAGAAAGGCAACAAAUAUUUUUCAACAAGUACAAAGAUCAUAUGUAUGUUCUACAGUUUUGACUGAGGGUACAAAAUAAAAAUGUCCUGGACAUUAAAGGGUCAUAAAGGAAUUUUAUGCACAACUGUUUGCCCACAGAUUUGAUUAUUGGUUGAUUGUAGUGAAUCAAUUUUAUGAAAGAUGCCAUCUGCCAAUAUUUGUAAAAGGAGAAAUAGACAAUCUGAAUAGAUCUAUGUCUAUUGUAGAAAUUGAAUAAAUAAUUAAUAACCUUACAAAACAUAAAGUCUUGGGCCUUCAUGGGUUCACUGGGAUGAAUUCUACUAAACAUUUAAGGAAGGAAUUAGAGGACUCCUGUAAGAUCUCUCUUAGAAGAUAAAAGCAGAGGGCAUACUUCCUAACUCAUUCUAUGAGGCCAGCUUACCCUAAUACUGAAACUAGACAAAAACAUUGCAAAAAAGGAAAACUACAGACCAAUAUCUCUCAUGAACAUUGAUGCAAAAAAUCUCAACAAAAUGUUAGCAAUUCAAAUACAACAAUGUAUAAAAAUAAUUAUACACCAUGACCAACUGGCAUUUAUCACAGAUAUGCAAGGCUAGUUCAACAAUAAAGAAAUCAAUUAAUGUAAUCAAUCACAUCAAUAGGCUAAAGAAGAAUAGUCAUGAAUUUACACAUAGACCUUACAUCCUUCCUGAAAACCAACUUAAAAUGAAUCAUAGACCUAAAUGUAAAAUGCAAAACUAGAAACUUUUAGAAGAUACUAUAGGAGAAAAUUUAGAUGACUUUGGAUAUGGUAGUAAUUUAUUAGAUACAACUCCAAAGGCAUGAUUUAUGAUAAAAAAUGAUAAGCUGGACUUCAUUAAAAUUAAAAACUUCCACACUGUGAGAGACAAUAUCAAGAGAAUGAGCAGACAACCCACAGACUGGGAUAGGAUAUUUACAAAAGACACAUCUUGUAAAGGUCUGUUAUCCAAGUUUACAAAGAACUCUUAAAACUCAACAGUAAGAAUACAAGUCUGGGUGUGGUAGCUUAUGUCUGUAAUCCUAACACUUUGGGAGGCUGAGAUGGGCAGAUGACUUGAGCCUGGGAGUUUGAGACCAACUAGGGCAACAUGAUGAAACCCUGUCUCUACAAAAAAUUAGCUGAGCAUGGUGGUGCACCUGUAGCCCCAGCUAUUCGGGAGGCUGAGGUGGGAGAAUCAUCUAAGCGCAGGAGUUUAAGGCCACAGUGACUGCCACUGCGUUUCAUCCUGGGUAACAAGUGAGAUCCUAUCAAGAAGGAAGGAAGGAAGGAAAGAAAGGAAAGGAAAGGAAGGAAGGAAGGAGGAAAGAAAGAAAGAAAAGGAGGAGGAGAAGAAGGAAGGAAGAAAGAAAGAAAAGGAGGGAAGGAGGGAGGAAGGAAGGAAGGAAAGAGAAGGAAGGAGGAGGAGAAAGGAAGGAAGGAAAGAGAAAGAAGAGGAGGAAGGAAGGAAGGAAAGAGAAAGAAGAGGAGGAGAAAGGAAGGAAGGAAAGAAAGAAAGAAAAGGAGGAGGAGGAAGGAAGGAAGAAAGGAAGGAAGGGAGGAAGGAGGGAGCGAGGGAGGGAGGAAGGAAGGAAGGAAAGAGAAAGAAAGAAAGAGAGAGACAAAGAAAAGGAGAGAAGGAGGAAGGAAGGAAACCAGAUUUAAAAAUAAGCCAAAUAACUUAACAGACACUUCGUGAAACAAGUUGUAUAAAUGACAAACAAGCAUGUGAAGAGAUGCUCCACAUUAUGUCAUUAGGAAAACAAAAACUGAAACAAUAAUGAGACACCUGUUUGUGUGGCCGAAAUCCAGUACACUGACAACACCUAAUGCUGGGGAAGAUGUGAAGCAGCAAGAACUCCCACUCGUUGCUGGUAGGAAUGCAAAGUGGCACAGCAACUUUAAAAGACAGUUUGGUGUUUUCUCACAAAACGAAACAUACUCUUACCAUAGGAUCUAGCCAACACAUUCUUUGAUAUUUACCCAAAAUGUUGAAAACUUAUACCCACACAAAAAUCUUCAUAUGGAUCCUUAUAGCAGCCUUAUUUACAACUGCCCAAAUCUGGAAGCAACCGAGAUGUUCCUCAGUAGGUGAAUGGAUGAAUAAACUGUGGUACAUCCAGGCAAAGAAAUGUUCAGUGACAAAAAAAAAAGAGCUAUGAAAAGACAUAGAAGAAAUGUAAAUGUAUAUUACUCAGUGAAAGAAGUCAACAUCAAAAGGCUAUAUGACAUUCUGGAAAAGGCAAAACUAUGAAGACAGUAAAAAGACCAAUGGUUGUCAGGGGUUGGAGGGGAGAGAGAGAUGAGUAGACAGAACACAGGAUUUUUAGGGCAGUGUAUAUACUCUGUGUGUACACUAUAAUGGUGGAGACAUGUCAUUAUGUAUUUGUACAAACCCAUAGAUGGUAUAAAACCAAGAGGGAGCCGUAAUGUAAACCAUGAAGUUUCGGUGACUGUGGUAUGUCAAUGUAGGUUCAUCAGUUGUAACAAUGUACCACUCUGUUGGGGAUACUGAUAACUGGGGAGGCUGUACACAUGUCAGGGCAGAAGAUAUAUGGGAAAUCUCUGUACCUUCCUCCCAAUUUUGCUGUAAACCUAAAACUGCUCUUUAAAAAAGUGAAAAAUUAAAACAAGGGCAAUCUAGUUGAUAUGGAGGAUGUACAGGAAAGGUAGAGGGGGAAGCAAGAUUAAUUUUUGAAAUUAGAAUCAUGAAUAAAAUGAAAGAGUAAUAUGAUUAUAAAGUCUUCUUCAAUAUCCACAGAUAACUUUUUUUUCCUAAAUGUUAAAUUUCUCCAUGAUCCCUGACAUUGUAUGAACCAAAGAUUUACAGUCUUGGACUAUAUGAUAGUUCAGUAAUAUAUCUGAUUUUGGAGAAUGCAUACUAGAGAGGCUUGCCUAGAAAGUUCAGAAGGAAAUUCUGAAAGCAGUAUUCUUAUCUUAGUGGCAAGCCGUCGUUCUCCAAUGGGAAAAUCAUGUUUGUAUUUAAGCAUCAUUUUUAGUAUCUGCAAAUGUCACACACAGACCUUCCGUUUUUACUUCAAUAACCUGCACAUGGUGUAUAUUUAGUUAGAGGCCCUGCCAGCUUUGAGGGACCUAUUUACCCAAGCGCAAAAAUAUCUUUACUUAAUACAUAGAUUGUACAGAUUCACCAAAUAGCUUGUCUUCUAAAGUAAUGAUAAGACAAUGGUGAAUAAUUCUUUACUUUUUUUUUAUAAUAAGAAAGAAACGAAAGUCUUUCUCUGCAGUUAAAUUACUACCUGUUAAAAGUGGCAAUAUAUGCUGCGUCUUAAAAUUGAAUUUGGCAUAUUUUUAAAAUGUUUAAUCUUGCCUUAAUGUAAUUUAACAAUGAAAUUAAGAGAGUUGUUCUUAUUUAUUUUUAAAAGUUUUUUAAGCCGUAUGAGUAAAUAAAGCAAUUACCCAUAAUGUUACAUUAUAGUAUGUUUAUUUCUAUUUUUGUGCUGGUUUGUCCACAGACAUAUAUGUACAAUUUAUCAAUUUGUUCCUUUUGCUUCAAAUUGUAUUAAUAUAGCAUUGUAAACAUUUUUCCUUAUUUCCAUAGUUUUAAAAAUAAAUAUCAUAUUAGUGUCAAUAAUUAAAUUUAUUUUGUGCUUCUUUUAAUCUACCUCAGUAAUUUUGAAUCAUUAAUUAUGCUGUUUUUAUUGUUUUGCUUUCAUAAUGAUUAUCUCAAACUCCCUUUAGCUUUUCUAAUGUUGUUAUUAUUUAUUUAUUUUUGUUGUUACUCUCAAUUAUCUUCUAAGGAAAGCAGGGUGUAACCUCAAAGCCAUGUGGCUUCUCCUAGCUCAUUAUCUAAAUUUUGGAAUCUGAAAUCCCAUUUUUUAACCUUUAAAUAAACUUUUAUUUU
rnacentral:lncRNA from 1 species